UACGUAGGGUGCAAGCGUUGUCCGGAAUUAUUGGGCGUAAAGAGCUCGUAGGCGGUCUGUCGCGUCUGCUGUGAAAACUCAGGGCUUAACCCUGAGCUUGCAGUGGGUACGGGCAGACUAGAGUGCGGUAGGGGAGACUGGAAUUCCUGGUGUAGCGGUGAAAUGCGCAGAUAUCAGGAGGAACACCGGUGGCGAAGGCGCACAUCUGGCCCGAUACUGACGCUGAGGCGACGAAAGCCUAGGGGAGCAAACAGG
rnacentral:rRNA from 1 species